GACAGCAGGAGAGACGCCGUGGUCCGCCCCUGCAGAGGCCUGGGGCUCACGCACCUCGGUCAGGCACUCCAACCUGGUUCUUCAAAGACGCCCCUGGGAGUGGGUGGCCUGUUCUCAGUGUCUCCCCGGCCUGACAGAUCCAGCCUGUGUAGCCACAGUAAGGCUGCACAAGCUGCCAGAACUUCAGACCUUUUCACUUUUGCCUGAAAUGGAUUAUUAACAGGCUGGGUGAGUCUGUCAUUGCCAAGUAACUAGAAACCUGACUUGGCAACAGGGGCCUCUUUGAUUAAUACCAAACAGGCAGUCAGUGAAUCAUUUGAUUAAAUAGAGCUAAUUUGGUGGAUAGGUGAAAAUCUCUCAAAGAUAGGAUGGGACAAUAAAAGGAGAGCUUGGUGGGGAGAGAGAGGGAAAUAUGCUUUCAGGAUUUUAUCGGUAGAGCAUUUCAGCUUUCCUGAAUUCAGGCCAUAAAAAGCACCCUCAGGAGAUCCCUUCAGGCAAAACACAAGGCCCUUCCUAAGGGGGAAAGAGUGAAAUUAAUGGCCUGAACUACCACCCUCCAGCCUGCUUUAAAAGGUCAAAUUGUGGCUUCAUCAAGCAAGCCCGGGCUGGCUUCCAACCACGCUGCUGAAAGAACGAAAUUCUGCUUUUUCAAGACAAAAGAAGAGGAUGAAGAAGGGAAUGUUGUCUGCGGGGAAUUUAACUCCUGGCAGGCCACGAAGUGUUAAAUCCCCUGCUGGAUUCUCUGCCUUGUAUUUGUUUAAUGCGUCUUGCUGAUGAGGCCAUAAGGAGCACUAGGAGAAACAGCAGGCAGCUCCCAGCUCGUGCUGAGGUGCAGCGAGCCUUUCCACCACGAGAUGGCAGCACGAGCCUGCAUUUGAAGCAAGGGCUGUACCUGAGGGCCGCAAGCUGCACCGCCCCCACCGCCACCCCAAGAGCAUGGAGGGAUCUACCAUUUGCCUUCCUGAGAUGACUGGCUUGAAGAACUGCAAGGAAUGCUUGUAUCUACAUGAAGCUCGGAGCACUGGGCUCCAGGCCCUGCAGGGGCCAUGUGGUGGAUUGCCUCGACCUGGAUCCUGAGGAUGUGGAAGCUCUGCUGGAAACUCACCAAGGGCUUUGGUGCGUCUGAAAGGAUACAUGGGAGACAAGGAGGUGAAUGGAGCUGUGAGAAUGAAGGAUACAGAUACUGCCUACAAGAUUCAGUUUGACAGAGAGCAUGCUGAUGUGGAAUGGAGGCGUCUUGGUUGUGUUUGGGGCUUCAAUUCAUGGUGUUCGUGAGCUUCACGCUUCAGCUGCCUGUUCCCACUUGGCCUCACAAAUGUGCUCUGGUCCUAUCUCUGCCAAGAAGCUUCUCCUCAAUAUUGAAGCCCACAGUGAUCCCUCAUCUCUGAAAGCCUACACCUGAAGGUCUGUAUCCAGAGACUGUGACUUCUGAAAUCAAAAUCUCAGCUAGAUUAAAAUGGAUUAUGCUUGGAUCCCAGAAAAGCCUGCAUGCUAACUGGAAGUAUAAACUGUUCAUUCUGCAAUUAUUUCCUGCCAUAAGCAUAUUCUCCCCAACCAAAACAAUAAGCUACACAUAGAAAGCUUUGUGUUAUAUGUUUUUGAUAUCCAGAAAGCAUGUUAUUUGAGUCUUGGCAUAAAGUAAGCACUCCAUAUGUUGAUUUGUAUGGAGCAAGCCACUCUUUUCAAUCUGUACAUUGACUGAUUCAUAUGAAAAAAAAAAUCUAUCAUUGUUUAGCCUAUUCCAAAUCUUGGCAGUCUUAAUCACAAGAACAGAGUUAGACCUAAGAAUAUGAGAGGUCCCAGGCCUCUUCCUGGUCCCAGGAGGACUUUGGGCUAGCACUUUAACAGGAGUUCAGUGUCUCCCAGAGGGCAACACUCAAAGCAUCUUAAAAGCAAGGGAUGGAAUAGCAGUGGAUUGCAUGGAGACAGACCAGAGGACACCUGAGAUGCCUUUCCCCAUCACUGCCCCAUCUCCCAGAUACAGAUGUGUGAGAGUCUGCAGCAUCCUUUCUGAUUUAGGCAGUGACCAAAUAACCCUGCCUGUUAGUGGGAUGGUCACUCCAUUCUACUCCAUUUUCUGAGCACUCAAACAGAGGAAGAGUAAAGUAUUCUGGCCAUGUUUCUAGAGAGCUCACAAAUUAAAAACCUUAAGGCUUUCUGGAGUUCCCAAAGCCAAACCAGAAAAGCUGAAAGAUGACUGGUAUGAUUAAUACAUUUAUCAGCACUAGGACAUUGUUAUUUUAUUGCUGGUAUCAGAGUGACAUCAUUUUUCAUAAAGACACCAUAAUUGUCUUUGAAUGUCAUAAAAGGUGAAAUUCAUUCUCAUGGAAAUUGAAGAGAACAUUACAAAGGCUUCCGUCAAAGGGGAACUAAAUGAUUUAGAUAAUAAAAUAUACUGGCUUUAAAUUUCUGUCUGUAAACCAGGAGUGAAACCACAGAGAAUUAGGCUUGAGAUGAAGAUUGUAAUAACCUGGAAUUAGUUUGGGCAUCCCUCUAAUCUCGUUUUUUCAUGGACUACAGCUAUUCAUUGGGAAAUCUGUUUUCUUUCACUGGCCAAUAUUUCAGCUGUCUACUUUCCAAAUGAAAAUACUAGAAGGGGGAAGAGAUGAAGAUACUAACUUAAAUAUAUCUUAUUGGAGAUGGCAAAAGCAACUCACUUCUCACUAAAGCACACAAAACUCAAGAUAUAAAGCAAACUUAUAUACAUAAGACCUUUGCUCAAAAUAUUUAUCUUCUUGUCUGCUAAGUGGUCAGAAUUUCUUAAGGACAAAUCCUAGAACCAUCACAUACAAAUUCGUUUUUCAACAGGCUGAGAUGAUGAAAGCUGGACAAAUAUUUAGGAAUUCCUUGCUAUUAUGUUAUAUGUCAAACUUCCUUCCUUUUCCACCCCCACCUCAAUAUGAACCCACUGGAAAUUCCUUCUGCUGCCAAGAGCCUUAGAAAACCUUUACAUUAUUAAUUUUUCCAUGGAUUUGUCGUGUUUUGGAAGCCUCACAAGAAGCUGAGUGCAGAGUUUGAGGGCAAUAAAACAGUCAGAACAAAUGGCAAGCCUUUCAGUUUGGCACUGCAGAAUGGAGCAUGCAUCUGUGCAUUCCUCUCUGUGCGGCUGGAAGGCUGGAAACGUCUCAGAUUUGGCUUUUGGUUUAUGUUACUCAGGCAAAUGGUCUUUCAGUUAUUCUAUGAGGGGAAGCCCUUUAGAAGAAAGGCAAUAUUCGAGGGGAAGGAUGGAGGAAGGGACAGUUAGGGAGUUUGGGAUCGACAUGUACACACUGCUAUAUUUAAAACGGAUAACCAACAAGGACCUGCUGUAUAGCUCAGAGAACUCUGCUCAAUGUUAUGUGGCAGCCUGGAUAUGAGGAGAGUUUGGGGGAGAAUGGAUACCUGUAUAUGUGUGGCUGAGUCCCUUCACUGCUCCCCUGAAACUAGCACAACAUUGUUAACCAACUGUAUUCUAAUACAAAACAGCUUUUGAAAAGAUUUAAAGAAAAUAAAGACAACAUUAUAGGCCAGUGAUUCUCAAUUUCCAAGUGCAUAGAUAUCUUGCUAAAUGCAUUUUCUGAUUCAUUAGGUCUGUGUGUAGAGCCUAAGACUCUGCAUUCCUAGCAAACUCCCAGAUGAUGCUCAUGAUGCAGGUUCAUGGACCACACUUUGAAACGAAAGGGGUUAGCAAAACAUAGGGUUGACUCACCCUAUGGGCUGCCCUGGUGGCUCAAUGGUUAAAAACCCACCUGCCAAUGUAAGAGACAUGGGUUCAAUCCCUGUGUUGGGAAGAUUCCCUGGAGAAGGAAAUGGCAACCCACUCCAGUAUUCUUGCCUGAGAGAUCUCAUGGACAGAGGAGCCUGGCGGGCUACAGUCCAUGGGAUCGCAAAAAAGGAGUUGGACACAAUUUAGCGACUAAACAAAUCGCCCUAUACCAGCAAUUUAAUCAAUGCUUACGUUUGACUUAAAUUUGAAAUUAGUCCAACUCACAAUGUUUGUGAAAAUAAAACCCAUUUGAUUUACCAUUUGAGGCCAGUAUUUACUGAGAAAUAAAAUAGGUUAUCAACGAACCCAGGAAAUGAGCUGGGUGUAAAACAAAGAAUUCUUUGGUCUUUUACUUAAGCAUUUUUCAUUCUCACUUUGCAACUGUAUAUUUUGCUUCCUUGUUAAAAGUAGCUAAUGCCAGUUUUAUCUUGCCUUUUUAUUAACAAGCUUAUCUUCACCAAGCACAAAUCAGUCCCAGAAAUGUCACUGCAGCUCAUGUGCAUCAGGCACAAGGAUUAGAUAGGGGAGAGCUUGGCAUGGCCUGUUUUCUUUUGCUCACCCGAAAGGAAUCUCAUGCUCAGUUCCAAGCCAGAUGUCAUUUGGGGUGAUAUUAUAUAGAAAUUCCAGUAAUUAAACUCACUAAACUAUGACCAGCUGGUAUUAACCCUCUUGUUAGGUCACAGAUUGCUUCCUUCUCUUUUGUUUGAAAAUAUAUCUAAGAGCUCCUCUGUGUUCUGAAUUAGUUACAAGUUCUCAGAAAAAUGACCUCCAAAGGCAUGAGUUUGGCAUGCCGUAGUGAUCAGAGAGGGAUUUGUGUGUGUGUGUGUGUGUGUGUGCUGUCCGUGGGUGAACGCACAUACCAGGCUAAAUGUGUUAAGGCAAAACUUGUAAAGCCUGAAUUUCAGAUGUUGGUGCAGAAAUGUUAGCAUCAGAACCUAAAGAGAGCAUCUUUCUUGGGGGCU